CUGACGCAGCAACGCCGCGUGGGGGAAGAAGGCUCUUGGGUCGUAAACCCCUUUUGCCGGGGAAGAUCGUGACGGUACCCGGCGAAUAAGCCACGGCUAACUACGUGCCAGCAGCCGCGGUAAUACGUAGGUGGCAAGCGUUGUCCGGAUUUAUUGGGCGUAAAGCGCGCGCAGGUGGUUCGUUGCGUCCGAGGUGAAAUCUCCCGGCUCAACUGGGAGGGGUCUUCGGAUACGGGCGGACUUGAGGAGAGCAGAGGUAGGCGGAAUUCUGGGUGUAGUGGUGAAAUGCGUAGAUAUCCAGAGGAACACCAGUGGCGAAGGCGGCCUACUGGGCUCCACCUGACACUGAGGCGCGAAAGCGUGGGGAGCGAACCGGAUUAGAUACCCGGGUAGUCCACGCCGUAAACGAU
rnacentral:rRNA from 1 species